AGAAAAAAGGCAUAGGCAAACAGCGUAGACCCCCAAUGAGACACCACAUGAUGCGGCGUCUCAUUAGGGUCGGCGCUGUUUGCUUAAAGGAAUUUCUGUAAGAAAUAUUCUAAAUAUAGAAAUAAAUAUACUAGACAUCCCUAAUUUUGGAAAUAAAUUGAUCCAAUUUAGAAGGAUGAAAGGGUCCACUAGGCAUAAAUGGGUUAAAAAUGGUUAAUACGAGAAUGCGGGAGAAUCUGUGUGAAUCCCAAUAGAAAUUUUGUACGUGUAUAUUCAGUACAAUCAGAGACCUGCACAGUCAACAGCGAUUGUGUGGUGACGGCGUGCUCUCCCGGAAGUGACGUCAUCUGUCAGCACCCGGACGGAAGUGACGGAAUCAAGCCUGGAGGCGGUUUGUGCACGUGUCAGGCACAGGGCGAGUGCUUUACCAGAGCUGACUUGUCUAGGGGCUAAUGCGAACCUCCCGUGUCCUGACUUUCGGCGCCAUUGCUGUGACAACAAGUUUAUCUGCGACCGCUUCCCCAUCGGCAUCGGCAACCAAACAACAGCGGGCAAAUAAUUGAUGUUUAAUGACUUUGUGAAUAAAUGUAUUCUUAC